rnacentral:rRNA from 1 species
CUACGGGGGGCUGCAGUGGGGAAUAUUGCACAAUGGGCGCAAGCCUGAUGCAGCCAUGCCGCGUGUAUGAAGAAGGCCUUCGGGUUGUAAAGUACUUUCAGCGGGGAGGAAGGGAGUAAAGUUAAUACCUUUGCUCAUUGACGUUACCCGCAGAAGAAGCACCGGCUGAACUCCGUGCCAGCAGCCGCGGUAAUACGGAGGGUGCAAGCGUUAAUCGGAAUUACUGGGCGUAAAGCGCACGCAGGCGGUUUGUUAAGUCAGAUGUGAAAUCCCCGGGCUCAACCUGGGAACUGCAUCUGAUACUGGCAAGCUUGAGUCUCGUAGAGGGGGGUAGAAUUCCAGGUGUAGCGGUGAAAUGCGUAGAGAUCUGGAGGAAUACCGGUGGCGAAGGCGGCCCCCUGGACGAAGACUGACGCUCAGGUGCGAAAGCGUGGGGAGCAAACAGGAUUAGAUACCCCAGUAGUC